GAUGAACGCUAGCGGCAGGCCUAAUACAUGCAAGUCGAGGGGCAGCGCGGUAGCAAUACUGGCGGCGACCGGCGCACGGGUGCGUAACACGUAUGCAACCUACCUUCAACUGGAGGAUAGCCCGGGGAAACUCGGAUUAAUACUCCAUAACACAGGGAUCCCGCAUGGGAAUAUUGUUAAAGCUACGGCGGUUGAAGAUGGGCAUGCGUUCGAUUAGCUAGUUGGUGUAGGUAACGGCUCACCAAGGCUACGAUCGAUAGGGGGUCUGAGAGGAUGAUCCCCCACACUGGUACUGAGAUACGGACCAGACUCCUACGGGAGGCAGCAGUAGGGAAUAUUGGUCAAUGGGCGCAAGCCUGAACCAGCCAUGCCGCGUGCAGGAAGAAGGCCCUCUGGGCUGUAAACUGCUUUUGAUAGGGAACAAAUGCCACUUGCGAGUGGAGCUGAGUGUACCUAUAGAAUAAGCACCGGGCUAACUCCGUGCCAGCAGCCG
rnacentral:rRNA from 1 species